GUGCUUGCACCGCCUGAUUAGUGGCGAACGGGUGAGUAACACGUGAGUAACCUGCCCUCCACUUCGGGAUAACCUCGGGAAAUCGUGGCUAAUACCGGAUAUGAGCACUCAUCGCAUGGUGGGUGCUGGAAAGAUUUAUCGGUGGGGGAUGGACUCGCGGCCUAUCAGUUUGUUGGUGAGGUGAUGGCUCACCAAGACGAUGACGGGUAGCCGGCCUGAGAGGGCGACCGGCCACACUGGGACUGAGACACGGCCCAGACUCCUACGGGAGGCAGCAGUGGGGAAUAUUGCACAAUGGGCGAAAGCCUGAUGCAGCGACGCCGCGUGGGGGAUGACGGCCUUCGGGUUGUAAACCCCUUUCAGUAGGGAAGAAGCGAGAGUGACGGUACCUGCAGAAGAAGCGCCGGCUAACUACGUGCCAGCAGCCGCGGUAAUACGUAGGGCGCAAGCGUUGUCCGGAAUUAUUGGGCGUAAAGAGCUUGUAGGUGGCUUGUCGCGUCUGCCGUGAAAACCCGAGGCUCAACCUCGGGCGUGCGGUGGGUACGGGCAGGCUAGAGUGUGGUAGGGGAGACUGGAACUCCUGGUGUAGCGGUGAAAUGCGCAGAUAUCAGGAAGAACACCGAUGGCGAAGGCAGGUCUCUGGGCCAUUACUGACACUGAGAAGCGAAAGCAUGGGUAGCGAACAGGAUUAGAUACCCUGGUAGUCCAUGCCGUAAACGUUGGGCACUAG
rnacentral:rRNA from 1 species